UACGGAGGGUGCAAGCGUUAUCCGGAUUCAUUGGGCGUAAAGGGUGCGUAGGUGGCGCCGUAAGUCGGGUGUGAAAUUUCGGAGCUUAACUCCGAAACUGCAUUCGAUACUGCGGUGCUUGAGGACUGGAGAGGAGACUGGAAUUCAUGGUGUAGCAGUGAAAUGCGUAGAGAUCAUGAGGAAGACCAGUGGCGAAGGCGGGUCUCUGGACAGUUCCUGACACUGAGGCACGAAGGCCAGGGGAGCAAACGGG
rnacentral:rRNA from 1 species